AUCCAGCUGACGAGUCCCAUAUAGGACGAAAUGCGCAUCCUGGAU
rfam:Schistosoma mansoni strain Puerto Rico chromosome 3, complete genome